GUACCUUCCGGCAAAUCCGAUUAUAUUGGAAUGAUACAUAAGAAAUUAGUAUGGCCCCUUCAUAAGAAUGACACGCACAAAUUGAGAAAUGGUCCAAAUUUAC